UACGGAGGGAGCUAGCGUUAUUCGGAAUUACUGGGCGUAAAGCGUACGUAGGCGGCUUUGCAAGUUAGAGGUGAAAUCCUGGAGCUCAACUCCAGAACUGCCUUUGAGACUGCAUCGCUAGAAUCAUGGAGAGGUUAGUGGAAUUCCGAGUGUAGAGGUGAAAUUCGUAGAUAUUCGGAAGAACACCAGUGGCGAAGGCGACUAACUGGACAUGUAUUGACGCUGAGGUGCGAAAGCGUGGGGAGCAAACAGG
rnacentral:rRNA from 1 species